CCGCGGACCCCAGCGAGGCCGGGCGCCUGGCGCGGGCCGGCGGCGCCCCCUGCUGGCCGCGCGGCGGCCGUUUGCCCCCAACUCCCGACGCCUUCGAGGGUCCCAGGCACCCCGCAGCGGGCGCUUCCCAGCUCCAUCCCAGGACUGGGCGGCGGGGCGCGCACCCCUGGCUGCAGGGACGCGGGGGCGCAGUGGGAAGGGGAGCUCUCUCACCGUCUCAGUCUCCGGGGGUCGCGCAUAGAGGCCGAGGCGGCCCUGCAGGCAUCCAACCGGCCUCACCCCUCAAAUAGGGAGAAGGCUGGGACGAGGGGCCUGACUGGGACAGCCUACCCGGAAGGGGCAGCACUGGCCACUUGCCCACUCCCUACCUGAGGCCUGAGUGUCCGGAGUGCGCAGGAGGGCUUAGCCGUGCCUGCACCUGGGUCCUCCCGGGGGCAUGGGUAGGAGGCCACGGAAGGGAAGGGGUUAUUUGGUCCCCAGUGUCACCCAGGGAGGCAGGAGACCCAGCCACCGAUGAGAACUGACACUUUAGAGGACUGGGUUUUAGGACGGCAGGGUGUGCCCCCGCUGCCCCUCCCAUGAUGACAGGGCACCUGCCUGGGUUGUGUUCAGCUUGUGCCCAUCAGAGACACGGUCACCACUCCCCACACGCACACUGCACAGAGGAGAGCUGCGCUCUAGCAAUGGCUUCCAGGACACGGGGCGCCGUGAUCUGAGGGGUCAGUGCCUGGUGAUGAGGUUGAGAGUGUCUGGAAUCAGUGUUCACUGUGCUCACACGGGCCAUGCUUUUAUGGGACCAUCUCCCAUCUGAACUUGUCCGUCCUGCCCCGCAGACCUAAUGGAAUGAUCUUUCCAGAAACCCCAGAACAUGGGAGGCCAUCGCUGGCCUGCCCACCCCACUCUGUGCCUGGGAAGACGCCGAAGACAAACGCUCUUUCAGUAUCUUUUCCUGCCCAGUUGCUGAGUCGGAUGCUGGGUAUGCAGGUGGCAGGGUGGGCCUGCUGGGGGGAAGAUGAUCAGGCUGUGUCCAAGCUGCAGCCCAAAUGCCCCCAGAAGAGGACACCAUGAGCCAGUCCCAGGGCUGUGGGACUCCCACCUAGAGGGAGACAAUGGCGCCAGCAGGACCAGCGGCCCCGGGGGGCUUCGUGCAGUGUGGGGUACCCCCGACAUGCCCCGUCCUUGCUCUUGCAACCACCAACUUUGCCAGCAGCACUAACUGCUGCCUCCCUGAGGGCUCAGUCUACCCUGCAGCCUGUCUGGGCCACCCGCAUUCACCUCUGAGACCCAGCACUUCAUACCCACGGUCUCGGUGCCACAUCCCGGCACCACCCCCAUGCUCCCCUCCCCCCCGCACCCAAGUGUGGCGCUUCCCAAACCCCUGCCUAGAAGGCCACUAGCCCUGCCCGAGGUUUGCUCUCACACAGGCCCCUGGCCCACACCCCAGGUUGCAGGGAGAGCUCUCUCCCGGGCCCGCCCUCCGCCCUCCUGAUCCCUGUUUGGCCUCCUCGUAGACCCCCACCUGCCCCAUUCCCUACUAGAGCACUCCUAGAGGUAGGUCCAGCCUGGCCUUGGUGUCCAGGACUGCUGCCAGGACAGAGGACAGAGCAAUCAGAGGCAAGGACCUGCCCCAGGACAACCAAGACAGCACGGUUGCCAAGAACCUUUUGUCAGAGAUGCCUGGAGAGCGUUUCUGUCAUUCCAACCAGGUCAGCCCUGCCUGAAGAGAGCAUGUGACGCAGCGGGUGACAGGGAGAGCCACGCAGCUGUGCAGGUGGGUGAGGACGUCUGUGCUCUGCUGUGGAAGGAGCUCCAGGCCUCAGUUACCUGACCGCAGAGGCAUGGCAUGCUUCCAGCCUGAAUGCAAGAGAGGCAGGAUGAAUAAGGACAGACCCUGUGAUUCCGCUCAGGGCCCUCAGAGCCACAGAAACAGAAAGUCGAAUGGAGGGUCCCGGGGCUGGGAGGGGACGGGGGUGAGUGUUUCAUGGGGACAGAGCUUCAGUUUGGGAAGAUAGCGAGUUCUGGAGACGGAGGGUGGUGGCUGCAGGACUGUGAAGGUGCUCAGUGACACGGAAUCGUGCACUUGAAAAUGGUGAAGAUGAUAAAUUUUGUUGUGUGUCUUUUGCCACAAUUACAAAAAAAGAAAUAAAAAGGGAAUGAAAAGAUACAUUCCUAAUCACA